rnacentral:lncRNA from 1 species
AACAUAAACCCGCCAAGAUGGCAGAAGCGAAGCAGAAGGCCCCUGCCGCGAGCUCACCUACAGCGCGACCUCCACAGGUUGCGGGGCCGCCCGAGAGCCCGCGGCGGCUGUACUGCCCCCAGGCGGUGGCGACCCAUCCACGCAGGCGGCGGCCGCGGCGGCCCCACCAGAGCGCCUGCGCAGAGCCCAGAAGGCAGUGCGAGGGGAGCGGCGCCGCGUGGCGAGGUGGCGGCGGCGAGGCGGCGGCUGAGGGACGCGGUCCUCCCGCCCCGGUCGGCGGAGAGCGCGGUGGGCACCGCCGUGCCCGUCGGCCCCGUGGAAACCAAGCCUGACGUGAGCCGCCGCUACCUGGGUGAGGCCUCCGUCACCUCCAGAUUCCUGAAGCGAGGCGCGUCUGGCCACCCCUUCCCGCGUCAGCCCCCUCAAGUAGCUGAAAGCUGGAUAUUAGGAAUAACUCUGGACAUACCUGUUUCAAGUGAACAAAAGCAAACAAAUACAGAAGUCUGUAACCCAAUAUAUUCUCAAGCACAAACUAAGCAGUUGAAUAUGGGAUCACUGCAGAGGCCAAGCUCUGGUUCAGGUUAUCAGACCACAAGAAACCACAUCAAGACCAGACAUAAGGACCAGAAAUCCUGGAUUCUGAAGUGGACACAGAUUCCUCACGAACUCUAAUUUCUCCAUCUAUAUUGCAGUGUUAAUGCUCCACCACUUACCCACAAGUCUGUAUGUAUAAUCAUUGUUGAUAACACUAAGAAAAAAUUUACUCUGUUAUUACCACAAAUUUAUUUACUGUUAAUAACCACAUUAAUUUAAUAACCACAUUAAGCCGGACUUGACUAUACUCUGUUUUAAAUCAUUUCAGUAUGUUGGCUUAUGACUGAUAAUUUUAUAUAUCAACUUUAGAAUUUGUCAAAUGGAGGCAGACACCUAAGUGAAAGUUACUUUCAUUUUUUAUUCAGAUUAAACACUUUAGAUAACUCUUCACUUUGAAAUUUUUUCUUCUGAUUGGCUUUAAGUGAAUAAUGAUUAUUUCUUAUGGAGAUUGGGUGGAAAAAAGAGUUCUAUUAGUUCUGUGAGUUAAAUCGUAAUAAGUUACUUUUAGUCUUAUCCAUACAUUUAAAACAUAAUGUUUUUGAAAUUUAACUACUUGUCUCUACCAUACACUGUUGGUGGGUGUCUGCAAGUUGAAUUCUCUCACAUCCAUAUAUAUCCACAAUGGACUUGACAUGUUGGUUGCAUUUAUUUCAAUUACCCAUCUGUGAAUUAGAAAGCUAGCAGGAGGGGAUCCCUGGGUGGCUCAGGGGCAGGCGCGGUCCUGGAGUCCCAGGAUCGAGUCCCGCAUCGGGCUCCCUGCAUGGAGCCUGCUUCUCCCUCUGCCUGUGUCUCUGCCUCUCUCUCUCUCUCGUUCUCUAUGUCUAUCAUGAAUAAAUAAAUAAAAUCUUAAAAAAAAAAAAAGAAAGUUAGCAGGAAUAUUAAAGAAUGCCUCCCGUGGUAAAAUUUGAAUAUAUAAAUGAAUGUUAAAUUAGAUUUAAUUCUAAUAUCAUAAAUGUGAUUUUCCACAUAGUACUUCAGUAGGGUAAUAGUUGAGAUGUCCAUAUGCUUAUCAUUUUAUCUUUACUUUCAUGUUUAAUUUUCUACCUCAUGUCUGUAACCAUUAAAGACAUAUAGGAAUAAAUAUGCCAGCCUGUAUGGUCUUGGGUUCAUCAGUGUUGUGUCUCCAGUGGACUGCAGGUGUAGAAAUGUAUAACUGAAUUUUCAGGGGAAGUAUGAGGAAGGUUAUGCCAAAAGAUGCAAUUUCCUAGUAAUUGCCAUGUUACUCACAGUGGGAAAACAGUUACAGCAACCAUGUGUUUAUUCCUUCCCAAAGUAACAUUAUAUUCUUACUCUUAUUAGUUUUUCUUAUUUAUUUCUCUUGAAUCAAAGGGAUUUCAAUUGUGUUAUUAUGUGAAUGGAACAUAAUGCAGUUCAUUUUCAUUAAACUUAACUUAGAGAAUGACUUAUGGAACCUAGCAACAAGGAAUAAAAAAAGAAUUAACCAGAAGCUUUUCUGUCACUGAAUUUUGAGAGCCAAGUGUUCAUCAUAGUUCACUCUAGAGAAAACCAAUUAUAUAUUUCAUUCCUUCCAAUCAGAACCACUUGGUGCUAAAAAUAAACUUGAAAGGCAUGCUACAAGAAAAAGGAAAAAUAUCUGAGACAAUAUAUUUUGUUGAAGUAAUAUUUUAAAUAAAUAAUUCAGUGUGCAACUCUAAC